rnacentral:rRNA from 1 species
GCAUGGUGGGUGUUGGAAAGAUUUAUCGGUUUUGGAUGGACUCGCGGCCUAUCAGCUUGUUGGUGAGGUAAUGGCUCACCAAGGCGACGACGGGUAGCCGGCCUGAGAGGGUGACCGGCCACACUGGGACUGAGACACGGCCCAGACUCCUACGGGAGGCAGCAGUGGGGAAUAUUGCACAAUGGGCGAAAGCCUGAUGCAGCGACGCCGCGUGAGGGAUGACGGCCUUCGGGUUGUAAACCUCUUUCAGUAGGGAAGAAGCGAAAGUGACGGUACCUGCAGAAGAAGCACCGGCUAACUACGUGCCAGCAGCCGCGGUAAUACGUAGGGUGCGAGCGUUAUCCGGAAUUAUUGGGCGUAAAGAGCUCGUAGGCGGUUUGUCGCGUCUGUCGUGAAAGUCCGGGGCUUAACCCCGGAUCUGCGGUGGGUACGGGCAGACUAGAGUGCAGUAGGGGAGACUGGAAUUCCUGGUGUAGCGGUGGAAUGCGCAGAUAUCAGGAGGAACACCGAUGGCGAAGGCAGGUCUCUGGGCUGUAACUGACGCUGAGGAGCGAAAGCAUG